CUAUGGGCAUAAUUUUAUUUGAAGUUUACAAAAUCAACUUUAUUCGGCUUUUAUCUAAUGAGGUACCAUUUGGUGUUUCCUCGAGGCGGGCAUAAGCAUGGCCUGCCUCCGCGCAAGUUGCUUGGGUAGUGGUAGUGAAUAGAGAACCGCAUCAAUCGUUACCCUUAUUUUUAGUGGGUGCUGAUUAGAGAGGACCCCCUUAAUCGCCUAAAAAGUGGGGAGUCGACAAAGACCAUCGCUGUUCGCCCAGGGGGAAAAAUCGCUCAAUGGUUAGGACAAAGGGUAGAAAGUAGGCAGGGGGGGUGGGUCGUGAAUAAUACCAUCAGUUCAGAUUGCCCUGUUCAACGUCUGUACAUGAAGGAGGAGUUGGUAGUAUAUCAUGAAUGCACCGUACGGUGAAUACGUUUUGUGGUGUUGUACAGGCCUCGGACCAUCCUCCUCCCUCAAAACCUUUUUUUAUGAAUCAUCCCUCACCAGAUCUGAAUGUAUAGAUUCUUGAGAGUCGAUAACUAAAAGAGAUCACAAUGCCC
rnacentral:rRNA from 1 species